GUUGACCUCGAGUAACAAACUGCGGAAAGCGACGCUGUGGAUAAGUAGGCUGCAUGCUUCACAUGGGGCUCAAACUCACUACCCUCGGAUCAAGAAUCACAUCUUCUACUGACUGAGCUACCCAGGCACCCCCAGAUCUGUUUCAUAUUAGGUGGUCAUAGAAGGUCGGAAAAACCAGAAUCAUGACCUGAAGACAGGAGAAGACAAGCCUGCAGUGGUGAUUUAUGUCUCUUCAUGGAUUUUAAAAUGAGAGUUUCAGUUUUUUCCUUUAAUUUCCAUCAAGAACCAGUACAACAGUAUAAAGGUACAAAUAGGAACCACAAGAAAACCUCGGAAAUGCAUGAUUCAAGGAUUUUGCAAGAUUAACAAAGGGUCAAGAAUUAGACAAAAACUAACUCCUAAAGAUGCAGUUUAACAUUUCUCCUGGUACCCUCUUGGAUCAUCAAAGCAGCUGUGGCAGAUCAUAUAUUCCAAAAUGCCAGAACAAUAUUUCCUAUCUACAUGCUCUUCCUACAACAUGAAUUUGAUAUUCCUUCCAUUGAGUGGUUGGUUCUAUAAUGUACAUCACUUUGAGCCUGGAAGAAUAGAGACUGUGUAAGUUCAAGUGAAGAUAUGUGAGUUUGGAAGUUAGAUCGUAAAAGAUGCGAUAGUUCCUUCCUGAUUCUCUUUCGAUGCUUCCUCUUGGAACUUAAGCUACUCUGUUGCAAGGGAGUCAAAACUAGCCCACAUGGAGAGGUCACUUGUGGGUUUUCCAGCCAACAGUCCAGUGGAGCAGCUCCUAGUCAACAACCAGCAUCAACUGCCAAAUAUGUAAGUGGAGAUGCCUCCAGAAAAUUCUAGCUCUAAGCCACUGAGUCACCCCCCCAACCCCCACCACUAAUCUUCGAGUCUUCCCAGAUGAGGCUGUAACCAUCCUGGAGCAGAAACAAAAAAAUCUACUCUGCCAUAUUUGAAUUCCUGAUUUAUAGAA